GUUCGAUCAUGGCUCAGAUUGAACGCUGGCGGGAUGCUUUACACAUGCAAGUCGAACGGCAGCACGGACUUCGGUCUGGUGGCGAGUGGCGAACGGGUGAGUAAUGUAUCGGAACGUGCCCUGACGGGGGAUAACUACGCGAAAGCGUAGCUAAUACCGCAUACGCCCUUCGAAGGAAAGCAGGGGGACCUUCCGGGCCUCGCACUAUUAAACGGCCGAUAUCGGAUUAGCUAGUUGGUGGGGUAACGGCUCACCAGGGCGACGA
rnacentral:misc_RNA from 1 species